CGUUGUCCGGAUUAUUGGGCGUAAAGAGCUUGUAGGCGGUUUGUCGCGUCUGCUGUGAAAGGCCGGAGCUUAACUCCGUGUAUUGCAGUGGGUACGGGCAGACUAGAGUGCAGUAGGGGAGACUGGAAUUCCUGGUGUAGCGGUGGAAUGCGCAGAUAUCAGGAGGAACACCGAUGGCGAAGGCAGGUCUCUGGGCUGUAACUGACGCUGAGAAGCGAAAGCAUGGGGAGCGAACAGGAUUAGAUACCCUGGUAGUCCAUGCCGUAAACGUUGGGCACUAGGUGUGGGGGACAUUCCACGUUUUCCGCGCCGUAGCUAACGCAUUAAGUGCCCCGCCCGGGGAGUACGGCCGCAAGGCUAAAACUCAAAGAAAUUGACGGGGGCCCGCACAAGCGGCGGAGCAUGCGGAUUAAUUCGAUGCAACGCGAAGAACCUUACCAAGGCUUGACAUAUACUGGACCGCAUCAGAGAUGGUGUUUCCCUUCGGGGCUGGUAUACAGGUGGUGCAUGGUUGUCGUCAGCUCGUGUCGUGA
rnacentral:rRNA from 1 species